GUGGAUUAGAUACCCCGGUAGUCCACGCCGUAAACGAUGAAUACUAGGUGUCGGGCGUCAAAACUCGGUGCCGCAGCUAACGUAUUAAGUAUUCCGCCUGGGGAGUACGCACGCAAGUGUGAAACUCAAAGGAAUUGACGGGGACCCGCACAAGCAGCGGAGCAUGUGGUUUAAUUCGAAGCAACGCGAAGAACCUUACCAGGUCUUGACAUCCUCUUGCAAGGGCCCUAGCCGGCCCCCUCCUUCGGGACAAGAGAGACAGGUGGUGCAUGGUCGUCGACAGCU
rnacentral:rRNA from 1 species